rnacentral:rRNA from 1 species
GACGAACGCUGGCGGCGUGCCUAAUACAUGCAAGUCGAACGCACUCUCGUUUAGAUUGAAGGAGCUUGCUCCUGAUGAUAAACAUUUGAGUGAGUGGCGGACGGGUGAGUAACACGUGGGUAACCUGCCCUAAAGUGGGGGAUAACAUUUGGAAACAGAUGCUAAUACCGCAUAAAACCUAACACCGCAUGGUGUAGGGUUGAAAGAUGGUUUCGGCUAUCACUUUAGGAUGGACCCGCGGUGCAUUAGUUAGUUGGUGAGGUAAAGGCUCACCAAGACCGUGAUGCAUAGCCGACCUGAGAGGGUAAUCGGCCACACUGGGACUGAGACACGGCCCAGACUCCUACGGGAGGCAGCAGUAGGGAAUCUUCCACAAUGGACGAAAGUCUGAUGGAGCAACGCCGCGUGAGUGAAGAAGGUUUUCGGAUCGUAAAACUCUGUUGUUGGAGAAGAAUGUAUCUGAUAGUAACUGAUCAGGUAGUGACGGUAUCCAACCAGAAAGCC